AACGAACGCUGGCGGCAGGCUUAACACAUGCAAGUCGAGCGCAUCCUUCGGGGUGAGCGGCAGACGGGUGAGUAACGCGUGGGAACGUACCCUUUCCUACGGAAUAGCUCCGGGAAACUGGAAUUAAUACCGUAUACGCCCUUAGGGGGAAAGAUUUAUCGGGGAAGGAUCGGCCCGCGUUGGAUUAGCUAGUUGGUGGGGUAAAGGCCUACCAAGGCGACGAUCCAUAGCUGGUCUGAGAGGAUGAUCAGCCACAUUGGGACUGAGACACGGCGCAAACUACUACGGGAGGCAGCAGUGGGGAAUAUUGGACAAUGGGCGCAAGCCUGAUCGAGCCAGGCCGCGUGAGUGAUGAAGGCCUUAGGAUUGAAAAGCUCUUUCAGUAGGGAAGAUAAUGAUGGUACCUACAGAAGAAGCCCCGGCUAACUUCGUGCCAGCCGCCGCCGUAA
rnacentral:rRNA from 1 species